rnacentral:rRNA from 1 species
UGAGGAAUAUUGGUCAAUGGCCGAGAGGCUGAACCAGCCAAAUCGCGUGAAGGAAUAAGGUUCUAUGGAUCGUAAACUUCUUUUGUAAGGGAAUAAAGCGCAGGACGUGUCCUGCUUUGUAUGUACCUUACGAAUAAGGACCGGCUAACUCCGUGCCAGCAGCCGCGGUAAUACGGAGGGUCCAAGCGUUAUCCGGAUUUAUUGGGUUUAAAGGGUGCGUAGGCGGCCUAUUAAGUCAGUGGUGAAAUCCCGUUGCUCAACAACGGAAUUGCCAUCGAAACUGGUAGGCUUGAGUGUAAAUAAGGUAGGCGGAAUGUGAUGUGUAGCGGUGAAAUGCUUAGAUAUGUCACAGAACACCAAUUGCGAAGGCAGCUUACUGGGAUACAACUGACGCUGAGGCACGAAAGCGUGGGGAUCAAACA